UACGUAGGGGGCUAGCGUUGUCCGGAAUCAUUGGGCGUAAAGCGCGCGUAGGCGGCCAGAUAAGUCCGGUGUGAAAGUCACAGGCUCAACCUGUGAAUGCCGCUGGAAACUGUCUGGCUAGAGUCCGGAAGGGGCGAGUGGAAUUCCUGGUGUAGCGGUGAAAUGCGCAGAUAUCAGGAAGAACACCCGUGGCGAAGGCGGCUCUCUGGGACGGUACUGACGCUGAGACGCGAAAGCGUGGGGAGCGAACAGG
rnacentral:rRNA from 1 species